AGAGUUUGAUCCUGGCUCAGGAUGAACGCUGGCGGAGUGCCUAACACAUGCAAGUCGAGCGGCAGCACGAGUAGUUUACUACUUGGUGGCGAGCGGCGGACGGCUGAGUAACGCGUGGGAACAUGCCCCAAAGUGAGGGAUAAGCAUCGGAAACGGUGUCUAAUACCGCAUAUGAUCUUCGGAUUAAAGGAUUUAUCCGCUUUGGGAGUGGCCCGCGUACGAUUAGAUAGUUGGUGAGGUAAAGGCUCACCAAGUCGACGAUCGUUAACUGGUCUGAGAGGAUGAUCAGUCAGACUGGAACUGAGACACGGUCCAGACUCCUACGGGAGGCAGCAGUGAGGAAUCUUCCACAAUGGACGAAAGUCUGAUGGAGCAACUCCGCGUGCAGGAUGAAGGCCUUCGGGUCGUAAACUGCUUUUAUGAGUGAAGAAUAUGACGGUAACUCAUGAAUAAGGGUCGGCUAACUACGUGCCAGCAGCCGCGGUCAUACGUAGGACCCAAGCGUUAUCCGGAGUGACUGGGCGUAAAGAGUUGCGUAGGUGGUCAGUAAAGCGAAUGGUGAAAUCUGGGGGCUCAACCUCACAGACUAUCAUUCGAACUCACUGACUCGAGAACAGCAGAGGUAACUGGAAUUUCUGAAGUAGGGGUAAUAUCCGUAGAUAUCAGAAGGAACACCAAUGGCGUAGGCAGGUUACUGGGCUGUUUCUGACACUGAGGCACGAAAGCGUGGGGAGCGAACCGGAUUAGAUACCCUGGUAGUCG
rnacentral:rRNA from 1 species